UGUAAAAUAAGCUAAGAAUAAGCUGUUGGGUUCAUACCCCAAAAAUGAAUGUUAAUUCUUUUACAA
rnacentral:tRNA from 1 species